GUGCACCAGUCGAGAAACCUCCGCAAUGCGCGAAAGCGCGACGGGGCCACCCCGAGUGCCGCCCGCUGAGGGCGGCUUUUCCCCGGUGUAGACAGCCGGGGGAAUAAGGGGAGGGCAAGUCUGGUGUCAGCCGCCGCGGUAAUACCAGCUCCCCGAGUGGUGGGGACGAUUAUUGGGCCUAAAGCGUCCGUAGCCGGCCCGGCAAGUCUCCCGUUAAAUCCAGCGAUCUAAUCGCUGGACUGCGGGAGAUACUGUCGGGCUAGGGGGCGGGAGAGGCCGGCGGUAUUCCCGGGGUAGGGGUGAAAUCCUAUAAUCCCGGGAGGACCACCAGUGGCGAAGGCUGCCGGCUGGAACGCGCCCGACGGUGAGGGACGAAAGCCGGGGGAGCGAACCGGAUUAGAUACCCGCGUAGU
rnacentral:rRNA from 1 species